rnacentral:lncRNA from 1 species
AUAUGAGGGUUCUAUUAUUUUUUAAGUCUUUAUUGAAUUUGUUACAAUAUUAUUAAUAAUUCUGUUUUGUUUUGCUUUAUUACUUUCUGAUGAUGUUUCAGCUUUUGGGCCGCAAGACAUGUGGAAUCUUAGUUCCCUGACAAGGGACCGAACAUACACCCUCUGCUUUGGAUGGAGAUGUCUUAAGCACUGGACUGCCAGGGAAGUCCCUCUAACUAUUCUUCAUUCACUGUUGAUCUUAACUAAGAAUUUCAUUCAGCUCCUUAGAUUGACAAUAAUAAUUAAUGGAAUGCCUCAGAAGAUUAGAAAAUCAGCUCGUCUGCAUCACAAAUAAGCCAAGUCUUACAGAAGUUCAAAGUAUGAACAGUCACCCAUAGAAGCUUUAACUUCUUGAGCUUGGCUAAAUCCACUCCAGUAUCACAUCUCCCAUAAAUGUCACUCUGGAUCAAGACAGUCUCUGUGAGCAAGUGUGUACUGUUUGCUUUCAACUGCAUCGACUCAAAGAGUUGUCAAUAAUUGCUCUUGGAGCUACAAGGUAAAGUUGCUAUUCUUGUGAAAUAUGAAUGGAAGCUUACCUCUUUUUACCUGCAAACUGAAUCCAAGUAAAACAACUUAUAAGUGGUCAGUGUGAAGUCUUCCCCUCACCAUGAAGGUUCACCACAUUUGUAGAUGAAUACUUUCUACCUAAUCAAUAUAAACUUUGGAAAUAAUCCAAACAGGCCACCAGUCUAGAAAUUUCCUUAUAUUAAGUAUGUAUUUGCCAUGUUUACAUUACUCUUUUAUUUUUAUUUCUGAGGAUUUCAGGGUCAUGUAAUCUGUAAUGGAACUGAAAAUACUCCAACCAGCAAUGAUCCAGGAAGACAUCAAAAACACCCAGACAGAAUAAGGCUAAUAUUUCCUCACCAGGUGUCUAGCCUCUUAAUCUAGUGAUAAUAUCACAUUCCAAAGGGAAAGGCACCGAGACCCUCCCAACUAGUGCUCUAAGCACUUACUUCUCCACCUAGGAUUACCAGCUUGUUGAGCAGCAAACAUUCUCACCUGCAUCAGAGGUGGGGGUUGCUGAGAACAGCAGCAUCUGAGGAGUAAAUAGAGCCCAGGAAAAACUUUUUUUAGAAACCAAAACCCAGCAACAAACUUGUUGGUUUCAGAUGCAGGUGCCAAAUUAUUUGGGGUUUUAUUUGUGCUUCCUGAGGUGGUGGCCCAUCUUUUGAAUUUGGAAUUAAAAAAUGAUCUUUUUUAUAGGUAUGUUUUAGGUUCUGUGAUGAGAGGGGAUGGCCCAUCUUCCUUG